rnacentral:ncRNA from 2 species
GAGGAAGCCCGGUGAGAUUCCGGCGCGGUCCCGCCACUGUGAACCCCGCGGAGCGAUCGGCGGGGUGAGUCAGGAACUC